UGCCAGCCGCCGCGGUAAUACGGAGGGGGUUAGCGUUGUUCGGAAUUACUGGGCGAAAGCGCACGUAGGCGGAACUUUAAGUCAGAUGUGAAAUCCCCCGGCUCAACCGGGGAACUGCACCUGAUACUGACGGACUCGAGGACGGUAGGGGUGAGCGGAACUCCAGGUGGAGCGGUGAAAUGCGUAGAUAUCUGGAGGAACACCGGUGGCGAAAGCGGCUCACUGGACCGUCUCUGACGCUGAGGUGCGAAAGCUAGGGUAGCAAACGGGAUUAGAUA
rnacentral:rRNA from 1 species